GGCUGGGCUGCCGCAGAGCAGCACGGGCGGGGACGAGGUUGCUAUGCAAAUGACGCGGCGGCCCGGUAGCCCCCUUUACCCAGGGGCCCUCUGGUUGCCAAAACAGACCAUUCCCCAGAACAGUCGCCUAGAAACGGGCGCUGUCAUAGCAGCCUCUGUAGCUGCGAGCCAGCCACGCUGCCAGGAGGAGCUGGGUCGGGGUGUUCAGACCUCCUCAGCAUCCCCCCCACCUCACACACACACCGAUCUCCACCUCAGGGAAGGGAGUGGUGGCUUGGGCUCCUCCUUGGAGCAGGGGAGGGCGCUAAUUGGAUUGGAACGCUCCAGAAACACAUCAGCUGCCCCUCCCUGGGGGAAAGGGGUUGAUGGGGGGAGGCUGCAGACAGUCUUUGUGAUGGGUCUCAGCUUCCCCUCCCCGCAGCCUCCCCCGACCUGGUCCUCACCAGCCUCUGCCCACCCAGCGCCAUCCUAGGGCACAAUGGCAAGCUCGCUGUGGCGUGGAGGAGGCGGACAUCCAUCAGAUAAUCACCACAGUGAAAUCCAGCCAUGAUAAGGAGGGGAUUGCAACAACUUCCAAAGGGGACAAGGAACCCUCGUGUUGGAGCAGGUUGGAAACCCCCGGGCUGGGCUGUCGAGGCAGUGUGUCAUUCUCCUGUGCAGAGAGGAGUCAUGAGGCCUGAGGUCAGGUUCCAGCCCCUCUCCGGGCUGGCUGGAUGAUCUUGGGGGCUGCCCCGUGUGACUUGGAGAGCUUUGGUUUCCUCAUCCGGGAACAGAGAACGUGAAAAUUAUUUGGCAGGAUUGUCAAGAAGAUUAAAUGAGAUCGUGAAAGGGCUUUCCAACUGUGAAGUGUCGCUCAAAUGUAAGGAUUGUUUCUGUCCUCUUACACACGUUGGCAGCUUCUUGAGGGCAGGUGUCUUCUGUGACCCCUCCCACCCCCACCCCCUCCGGCGCUCAACGCAGGGCUGUGGAGAUAACCUGGGAAAAACACCACAAAGUGACUCGCACAGGGGUGUAGCACGUGGGAGUUGCUUAACAAGUGGUAGCUGAUGCGUACACGCGUGCCGUUGCACAGACAGAAUAGGGGGAAGGCUCAGAGUAUGGACUCUGGUUUGAAUCCUCUCGCUGCCACUUGCUAGGUUGGCGAGUGUGGCCCUGGGCGAGGUUAGCGCUAAUCUACCCUCGUGUCCUCAUCCAUCACACAUGGCUGAUGAGAAUAAUGGCUAGUUCAUGGGGGUGGUUGUGAGAACCCGAGGAGUUCAGUCUAUGGAACACGACCAGGCACAGAUCGAGCCCUCAGUAGGCAUCAGCUAUUGUUACUAUUUGACUGUUGUACACUGAGCGACUCUUCAGGAGGUGAUCUGAGAAGAUCGCUAGACUGGAGAGUGGGACACGUAACUCCUGGACUUUGCUCAGAGUCGGCAAGGCCUUCAAAGCCAGUUAGAUGUCACACCAGCCUCUUGGGGUCAGCGCAAGUCAUGUAACUGUGAGUAGGCUUGGGCGUCAUCUCCCCCCGUGUGGGCUAGACCCCUGGACCAGGCAUUGUUGGAUAAAAAGUGUGUGUAUUUAACGUUUGGAUAAAUAUCACAAUGGUCCAUCAGGCGGACGUUUCUGUUUGUGCUCCCUUCCAUCAGAACAGGAGGGCCUGUUUCCAUAUACCCCAACCCACCCACAUUUUUAAGUUUAAAUUUUAUUAAUUUUUUGACUAGAUAAUAUUUGCACAUGGCACAGAAUUCAAAAAUCCACCAAGGGGCAAACAGUGAGAAGUCCCGUCACCCCUGACCCAGCCAUCCAGUCCUCUCCCCAGAAACCCCAACUUUGAUCUCAGCCUGUCUGUAAAUGGACAAGGGUAUCUGACUGAAUAAAUCUCGCUAUUAUUUUUAGGUGAAAACAAGCCAGAAUAUAUUUUGGAGUAGAGUGUUGCAUUUCAAUGAACUUUAAGAUAAAACAGGAGACUUCAAAGACAUUUUAUGCUCAAGGGUGGGGCAGGGCUGGGAGCUGCUUCUGGCUCUGCCUCCUACCUUCUCUUGGGGGAAAAUUUGGUACAGUUCUGAGUUCGUCUAUAAAGUGCAAGCUCGCAGAUGCCCCUGGCCCUCUCGAUUACAUUGAGGUUCUCCUCAUCACCCUGGUCACUUGUAUACAAUCCAUCCCUUGUGCCUCUUCCUGCCCUUGACUUGGCCGCCGCCUUGCUGCCUGACCUUGAGGCGGUUGCCUCCAUUCUGGGCUCAGUUUUUCUCACUUGUAAAAAGAGAGCUUGGACUAGGCCCAUUCCAGGUGUAACAUUCCAGGGCUGGUCAACUAAUUCACAUUAAGGUGUGGAUGACUGAUAACGGCUUAAUGCAUUACCUCUCCUGUGGGUGGGAACAUUUUAAGAGAUGCAAUUUCUCCUCCCAAAAGAGUGAACAUGCAUAGUGCAAUUUCAGGCAUGGUCACAGUGGGUGGGAAUGAUGUGAGGGGAGGGGGCGCCUUUCCUGGGAUUGCUCCAGUGGGCACUGGGGUGGAGGGUGCUGUUCCAGCCAGAGGCGGUGUCAGCCCUGAGGGCACGUGCCUAUUGGUUUCCCUCCAGAACUCACACCACGCUCAUUUCUCUCUGGCGGAGGCCAAGAGCAGGGUUUUGUUAUACUGAAAAAUGCCUCAUCAGGGAAACCCAUGUGUGUGGCCUGGAAAACUAUCCUGUCUCCUGGGGCGAGGGGAGCGGUGGGAGUGUUUGAGCAGCUUGACUUCCAGGUUCGCAGGUCAGUUCUCAUCCUGGCCAAGUGAGGAGACCUCCGCCCGAGGGCCAUCAGCUCUCUGCCAGAGCAGGUGGUCCCGCCACACCUGGAUCCAAGACAUCUGCUUUUUACCCAGGGAGAAAGGCUGUGCCAAAUGCUGUCUGGUUUCAUUUUCUGUAGGAGGUUUGAUUUGGCUUCUGAAUUUUCAGGGAGGGUGUGAGAGAGGGGGUGGCCCGCAGCCACCGUUAGCCCACAGAAGGAAGAAAAGCAUUUCUCUGGCUGAUGAAUUCUAGGCCCGCUGGCCUUGUACAGUGCACAGUGCUGUUGCCCAGCGCAUCUUCCUCUCCAGCCCCCUUUGGGGCACCAUUUUGUCCCACCCGCUGUCUGGGCACCCCUUCAGUGGAGGCAGCUGGGGUAGUCAGUCUAUUCUCCAGGCAAAACUGUGGUAGAUGAGAAUGGAAACCAGGGGCAAUGGUCAGUGGUUCACACUCUGUUGGCCAUGCUGAGAGCUCAGAUAAGACCAGGGAUGGACCCACCUUGUCAGAAUCUCCACCAUCACCUCCCCUGCUCUCCUCUGGAGCAGGCAGCUUCUCAGAACCUGCUGACGCCAAACCCGUGAGCCUCAUCAUGGAGUUCACAGAGCUCUAGACGCUCCCUAAUCAAAGUGUAGUGACCUGGGAGCUGGUUAGAAAUGCAGAAUCUUGGGACCCACUCUAGGCUACCGAGUCAGAUUCUGAAUUUUUACAAGAUACCAGGUUGAUCUGUAUGCACAUUGAUGUUUGGGAAACGUGGGCCUAGAUGCUGAAUGCCUUUGGGAAGUAGGAAGGAAGGAAAUAGAAGCUCCCCGGGGGGAGGGGGGGCGGCUCCUCUGAGGGGAAGACAUGCCCACAGGCCUGUUCAGUGGAGGGAGGUGGACGCUGAGGAAAAGGCUAAGGAAGGCCCUCUAGGACAGCAUGCUGAAAUAGGCGCCUUUAAUGAUUUUAGUUUUAUUUUAAUUUCAUUUUUAAUAGGUAAUUCACUUUCACAUUAAAAUUCUAAGGGUACAGAAGGGUCUGUCAGACAUAGUUUCUUUCCCACACCUAUCUCCCAGCCACUUCCCCUCAAAGGCAACCUCUGUUACUAGGCCGGAGAUAAGACAUGUUGUGCAGAUAAAAGUGUGUGUGUGUGUGUUCUUCCUCACCGGACCCCUUCUAAAAGAUCCCUAUGGUAGCCCACCACACAUAGUAUCUGGACCUUGCUUUUUUAACUUAAUAUAUCUUGGAGAUCGUUCUAUAUUAAUAUGUAAAGAUAAUCCUAGAUUGUAUUUCAGCUGCAUAUUAUUCCACUCUAAGAACGGACCUCAAUUUAUAAUGCCAGGCCCCCACUGAUGGACUUUUAGGGGUUUUUUGUGUGUUUUUUUGAAUAUUUGGUUUUCUUUUUUUUUUUCCUGAAGAUUGGCACCUGGGCUAACAGCUGUUGUCAAUCUUCCUUUUUUUUAAGGAUUGGCACCUGGGCUAACAACUGUUGCCAAUCUUUUUUUUUUUCUGCUUUAUUUCCCAAACCCCUCAGGUACAUAGUUGAAUAUCUUAGUUGCAGGUCCUUCCAGUUGUGGGAUGUGGGACACCGCCUCAACGUGGCCUGAUGAGUGGUGCCAUGUCCGUGCCCAGGAUCCGAACCCUGGGCCACUGCAGUGGAGCGCACGAACUUAACCACUCGGCCAUGGAGCCGGCCCCAGGUGUUUUUUUUUUUUUUGAAUGCAGCUUAAUCUUUAAUCUUAGAAUCUUCAAAACUGGAAGGUCAUUUAAUCCAAACUCCCACCCAGCAUAGGAAUUCUUUCGUAGUAUCCCGCUCACUUCUGUGACCCAGGUCAGUGUUGUCUGCCCUGGGGAGCUCCUCCUCCCUCUCCCGCCGUCACUUUGCCAGAGCCCUAAUCGUAUGACACUAUUUAGGCAAAGGCGUGAUAACGUUUGCUUGUGUCUCCUCUCGCCCCAUCCCAUCACAGUGCAUAGUGGGUGCUGAACCGAUCCGAAUGGGGUUGAAUUGACCAUCCCCGAGUGGGGAGUCCUCCAAAUUCUGCUCUUUGAACACUUCUAAUGACAGAGAUCUCGCCUCCUCCAAAGCCCAUUCUGCCUUUGAAAGGCUGUAUCAGAAAGUCCUUUGAUAAAUCAAAAUCUUUUUCUCAGUAGCUUUUCCUUCUGGCUCUAGUGCAUUUCUAAAACAACACAGAAAUUUAAUCUCUCUUCCAGAUAUUUAAGAUGACCAUCUUUCUCCAAACCAAAUACCUCCCAGUUCCCUGUGAAUGCUGGUGCUAGGUUCUUCUCCUUCCAGCAUUUUCUUCCAUACACUUUUUGGUUUGUAAUAUGACACUUUAAAAAGUGAUCUGACCACUACACACUUAUUAGAACGGCUAAAAUUUAAAAGACUGACCAUACCAAGUACUGACGAGGAUGCGGAGCAACUGAAAGUCUUCCACUGCUGGUGGGAAUGUAAAGGGCUACAGACACUUUGGAAUGGCGUCGAUAGUUUCUUAAAAAGUUAAACACACAUCUUUCACAUGACCUAACCGUUCAACUCCAAGAUAUUUACCGAAGAUAAUUGAAAGCAUAUAUCCAUUCCAAGGCAAAUGUCCAUAGCAGCUUUAUUGUAACAGCCAAGAUCUGAAAACAACCCAAAUGUCCAUCAACAGAGAAUGGAUAAACACACUGUGGUAUAUCCAUACAAUCGAAUACUACUCAGCAAAAACGAAAACCUAUCGAUAGGCUUGACAACAUUGAUGAAUCUCAACGUAAUUAUACCGAGUAAAAGAGGCCAGAUGAAAAAUAAUGAGUCAGUGCUGGACGAUUUCAUUUAUAUAAAAUUCUAAAAAAUGCAAACUAAUCAACAGUGACAGAAAGCACCUUUGUGGUUUCUUGGGGAGGUGGAGGUGGGGAGGAGUGGGAGGAACGAUUAUGAAGGAUGCGAGGAAACUUUGGGGUGAUGGUUAUGUUCACUUGAUACUGGUGAUGGUUUCACAGGUUUAUAUAUGUGUCAAAACUUAUCAAAUUGUACACGGGUGCUUGAGGGUAUUAUGCUAAGUGAAAUAAGCCAGACAGAGAAAGACAAACACUGCGUGAUUUCACUCGUAUGUGGAACACAAACACAUGGAUAAAGAGAACAGAUUAGUGGUUACCAAGGGGAAGGGGGUAUAGGGGUGGGUGAAAGGAGUAAAGGGGCACAUUUAUAUGGUGACAGACAAAAAUUAGGCUAUUGGUGGUGAGCACAAUGCAGUCUAUACAGAAAUUAAUAAAUAAUAAUGUACACCUGAAAUUACACAAUGUUAUAAACCAUUAUGAUCCCAAUAAAAUAAUUGAAAAUUACUUAAUUAAAAUCCCACAGGGUCAGCCUGGUGGCACAGCGGUUAAGUUUGCACUCUCUACUUUGGCGGUCCGGGGUUCACUGGUUCGGAUCCCAGGUUUGCCAGUUUGGAUCCCAGGUGUGGGCAUGGCACUGCUUGGCAUGCCAUGCUGUGGUAGGCAUCGCACAUAUGAAGUAGAGGAAGAUGAGCAUGGAUGUUAGCUCAGGACCAGUCUUCCUCAGCAAAAAGAGGAGAAUUGGAGGCAGAUGUUAGCUCAGGGCUCAUCUUCCUAAAAAAAGAGAAAAAUUCCACAGAUAAAUUGCAGGCCCAACCCAAUAGCCUCUCCCUGCCUCUGAAACAUCGAAAUAACCUAUUAAUUAAAUAAAAAUAUGAACUUCAAAAAAACCCAAAAAACUUACCAAAUUGUAUACUUUAAAUAUGUGUAGUUUAUUGUCUGUCAGUGAUACCUCAAGAAAGCUGUUAAAAAAAAGCCUAGUGUCUGGAACUGGUCAUAUUGUCUUAAUGUCACUGACUGGUGUGGUGCACAGUAGACAGCGAGCUCCUUUGAUUUGGUUGCUAUACUCCUGUUGAUGGAACCAAAGUUUUUAUGUGCUUUUUCAGGAGGUAUAUCACUGUCGUUUCAGUUCAGCAAAAAUCAGAAGACCUUGAUGUCAUGAGUACUGACAAGCCAGGUCUCCUCCAACUUUAAUGUGAAUUGUGUCAAGGUCAUUUACCCCUUCGAUGUUCGUUUUUUUGGCUGGGAAAGAUUAGCCCUAAGCUAUCAUCUGUUGCCAGCCUUCCUCUCUCUCUCUCCUUUUUUCUUUUUCCUCCCCAAAGCCCCAGUACAUAGUUGUAUCUUCUAGUUGUAGGUCCUUUUAGUUCUGUGUGAGCCGCCACCACAGCAUGGCUACUGACAGACGAGCAUUGUGGUUCCACACCCAGGAAGUGAACCCAGGUGGCUGAAGCAGUGAGCGCUGAACUUUAACCACUAUGCCAUUAGGCAGCUCUCGAUGUUCUUUUUGAUGAUAGAAGAGAGUGAGAGAUGGCAUAGUACUGUGGAAAGAGUGUGAAUUUGGGGUCAGAUUCCUUUGACUGGAAGCUCAGGGUGGAUAAGUUACUGAGUUUCUCUGAGUCUUUCUUCCUCAUCUGUCAAGUGGGUCAGUAUUUCUGAUCUCAUAGAGGCAUGACAAUUAAAUGAUACCUAAAGGAAAUAAACUUAGUACAGUGCUUGGUCUAUCGAGGCAUCGAAUGAAGAGAAGCUAGUUUUAUAGCCCUAUCACUCCUGCCUGUCACAGUAGUUACAAAUCUUUGUUCUGUGUAUGCCAGAACUCUAAUCUUAUAACAUCUCUAUAUUUGAUUAGCAGACCUACACACCUCUAUUGGAAUUUCUAAUAUAAACAUUGAAAUGAGCCAGGUCCAAACCAGCCCCGUGGCACACCGCCAUUGCGUUUCCUCCAGAUUGAUCUGUGCUCCUUGGGUUGGAAGCAAUGAGUUUAGCCCUACAUUUUUCUUUCUUUCUUUCUUUUUUCAUUUGAGUUCAUAAUAGUUUACAUCAUUGUGAAAUUUCAGUUGUACAUUAUCUCUUGUCUGUCACCACGUAGGUGCUCCCCUUCACCCCCUGUGCCCACCCCCGACCCCCCUUCCCCUGGUAAUCACUGAACUGUUUUCUUUGUGCAUGUGCUUGUUUAUAUUCCACAAAUGAGUGAAAUCAUCUGAUGUUUGUCUUUCUCAGUCUGGCUUAUUUCCCUUAGCAUAAUUCCCUCCAGGUCUUUCCAGGUUCUUGCAAAUGGGAUGAAUUUGUCUUUUUUGGGGCCUGAGUAGUAUUCCAUUGUAUAUAUAUGCCAUAUCUUCUUUAUCCAAUCUUUGGUUGGUGGACACUUGGAUUGCUUCCAUGUCUUGGCUAUUGUGAAUAGCGCUGCAAUGAACAUAGGGGUGCAUAUGUUGCUUUGGAUUGUUGAUUUCCAGUUGUUUGGGUAGAUACCCAGUAGUGGGAUAGCUGGGUCAUAUGGUAGUUCUAUUUUUAGUUUUUUGAGGAAUCUCCAUACUGUUUUCCAUAGUGGUUGCACCAGUUUGCAUUCCCACCAGCAGUGUAUGAGGGUUCCCUUCUCUCCUCACGCUCUCCAACAUUUGUUAUUUCUAGUCUUAGUGAUAAUAGCAUUUUAACAGGUGUAAGAUGAUAUCUUAGUGUAGUUUUGAUCUGCAUUUCCCUGAUGAUUAGUGAUAUUGAACAUCUUUUCAUGUGUUUAUUGGCCAUCUGUAUAUCUUCUUUUGAAAAAUGUUCAUAUCCUCUGCCCAUUUUUUGAUUGGGCUGUUUGUUUUUUGUUGUUCAGCUGUGUGAGUUCCUUAUAUAUUAUGGAGGGUAACCCCUUAUCAGAUAUAUGAUUUGCAAAAGUUUUCUCCCAAUUAGUCAGUUGUCUUUUUUUUUUUCUUUUUAAAGAUUAGCACCUGUGCUAACAUCUAUUGCCAAUCUUUUUUUUCUUUUUCUUCUCCCCAAAGCCCCUUGGUACAUAGUCGUACAUUCUAGUUGUGAGUGCCUCUCGUUGUGCCAUGUGGGAUGCCACCUCAGCAUGACCUGAUGGGUGGCACCAUGUCCGCGCCCAGGAUCCAAAGUGGCGAAACCUUGGAUUGCCAAAGUGGAGCGAGCGAACUUAACCGCUCCGCCACAGGGCCGGCCCCCUGUCUUUUGGUUUUGAUUCUAGUUUCUUUUGCCUUGCAGAAGCUCUUUAGUCUGAUGAACUCCCACUAGUUUAUUUUUUCUUUUGUUUCCCUUGUCUGAGAAGACAUGGUAUUCGAAAAGAUCCUUUUAAGUUCAAUGUCCAAGAGUAUACUACCUAUAUUAUCUUCCAGGAGUUUUAUGGUUUCAGGACUUAUCUUCAAGUCUUUGAUCCAUUUUGAGUUAAUUUUUGUGUACGGCAUGAGAUAACGGUCUAUUUCAUUCUGUUGCAUGUGGCUGUCCAGUUUUCCCAGCACCACUUAUUCAAGAGACCACCUUUUCUCCACUGUGUGUUCUUGGCACCUUGGUCGCAGAUUAGCUCCCCGAAUGUGUGCAGUUUUAUUUCUGCAGCCCUACAUUUUUAAGUGUGACGGCUAAUAUGCUGGCUGAUGGUGAAGCUGUCAGGAACGUGGGAUAAGAGUAAAAGUAGAGCAGCGGCUCCGGAACAAUUAGACAGAGUUAUCAUAUGAUCCAACAAUCCUGCUUCUGAGUACACACCUAAAAGAAUGGAAAGCAGGGAAUCAAACAUUUGUACAUCAUAGCAAUGUUAUUCGCAAUAGCCACAGGUGGGAACAGCCCAAGUGUCUACUGACAGAUGAACAGAUAAAGAAAAUGUGGUAUAUACAUACAACGGGGUGUUAUUCAGCCUGAAAAAUGAAGUUCUGACAUGUGCUACAACAUGGAUGAAACUUGAAGAUAUUAUGCUAAGUGCCAUAAGCCGGACACAAAAGGACAAAUAUUGUAUGAUUCCACUUAGAUGAAGUACCUAGAGUAGUCAAAGUCAUAGGGACAGAAAAUAAAACGGUUGGUGGAAGGGGCUGGGGAGAGCGGGGAAUAAGAAGUUAGUGUUGAAUGGGUACAGAAUUUCAGUUUGAGAAGAUGAAAAAGUUCUGGAGACGGAUGGUGGUGAUGGUUGCAUGACAAUGUGAAUGUGCUUGAUGACACUGAACAGUACAUAUGAAAAUGGUUAAAAUGGUAAAUUUCAUGUUACUUAUAUUUUACCACAGUUAACAAAAAAAAAUGGAGCAGCAGGCUAUUCAGCAGUGGGGAGGGCCUGGCCUGUGGGCCGGAUGGACAGCCAAGUCAGGAUGAGCUGGAGAGCAGGUUGGCCUGGUCAGAACCGGGAGGAGACUGGAGAGGCGGCUCAGCAUGCCCUGGUUUAUAGAAAAAUCGCAGAGAUCGUACAGAGAGUUCCAGCAAACCUUUCAUCCAACUUCUCCCGAGGUUAACAUCUUGCAUAACCAGUCUUACAGGAGUCACAGUUCCCAAGAGGAAGUGGUAUUUUCAGGCAAAAUGAAGUUUUCUGUUUAAAGUCUGACUUUCUGAUGGUGGGGCUUCAGUGAUCUAAGAGCAAGGCGUUUGGAGGACAGCAAAGCCUGCUAGUUGCCUUGAAACCAAACCCCAGAACCCUCCUCUGGUCUGCCUUGAGGGGAGGCUGUAAGGAUGGCCGGAGGUGGGGGAGGUAGACGUGUCUGGAGUGGAGGAGCCAGGACACUUCCCAGACAGAGCACUGUAUCACCAACAUAUUUAGAAGGAAUUAGAGUGAAAUGGACAUUUAUGUUGUCAGUCAAAACAGUGACCGAGUUUUUGUUUCCCUUCCAAAAACUGCUGCACCCUUCCAUCCUAAGGGAGGAGAAGGAGAGAGAAGGAACCUCAACAAACGCUAUCAAACGGCCAACACCGCUGACCUCCGGGCGCAUGGGGGAAGGGAGAGUCAGAGCUGGGAGACGAGGGCAUUUGAUUUUUACCUCUCAUCCUCUGUACAUUUCAAAAAGAGAGAGCAGUACGGGUGAUUUUUAUUUUGCGCCUAUGUGGGUUUUUGGGUAGUCCUCAACUUUUUUAUUUUGCAUACAACAUACUUUUGUAAUCAAGGGAAGACAGGUCAUAAUGAAAAAACCAAUCCAAAGUGGUUGGCCACUGGGUGGCCAUCCCACUGUCCCCACCUGCAGCUGCGCACCACCCUUGCCCCAGGGCUGGAAUCCCUGGUCUCGUGGCUGCCCACACUUGGCAGGGGUGGGAGUAGGGCAGAGAGCGAGCAGCCUUGGUCCUCCGCUGCGCCCAGUCUGGCCCCUCUGGGCAAAUCUCUGACCCCUGGGCGGCAGACCCCGCCGGCUGAUAUUGCUGUAGUGGCCUUGGCUAUCUCCCACGCCUCCCAGCCGGGUGCCAGCUGCCAGGCCUCCCUGCUCAGCUGGACUGCGGCCCGCCCCCUUCUGACCAGCCUUUCCCGGGGCUGGGAUCAUCCUAGCGUUUCAGCUGCUGACACAUGGCACUUGGCUGGGUCGUCGAUGCUGCAACUCUGAUCUCAAGAAAGGCACCUCCAGCCUUCACCCAGACUGUCCGGAGUCUGUUUGGCCGUGAAGACCAAGGCUCAUCCUCCCAGUCAGCAGGUGAGCAUAGCACAAGGUCAACAGAGACCCCGGAGAGAGAGAGUGAAUCUGGCCCUGGCUUUGCGAGGCCCCCUGCAAAAGCCUCACAGAUUUUGGGGUCCUGAGACGCCUGCUUCCAGUAAUUGUGAUCCCAGCUGGGGGACCUCAAGCAUGUCCCUCCUCUGUAACAUGGAGAUGGCAAGGAUCUCUUAUAUCCAGGGACUCUGUCAGGAGCAAAUAGGUUAAUGUAUGGGAAGAUGCUCGUGAGUUGAAGGGACUUAAAUGGGAUUUUCUGUGAAAACCCAUUCUGGCGCUUUGCGAAGUUUAAAAAAAUCCACUAGUUCUCAAGAGCUUGUUACCCACCGACUCUGUGUGCCUAGUACCUCAACUUAAUUCCCCCAGCAAGUCAAGACAUAGAAGACGCAUAUGGCUCGUCACCAAGGAACUUACACUCAACUGGGGGAAAUGGAGCGCUCACACCAGAAGUCUGUUUUGUUUCUGUCAGUGAUUGGGUGCUGGAAUCAGGACACGUUCAGC
rnacentral:lncRNA from 1 species